rnacentral:rRNA from 1 species
UAUGUAGGGCGCAAGCGUUGUCCGGAAUUAUUGGGCGUAAAGAGCUCGUAGGCGGUUUGUCGCGUCUGCUGUGAAAACCUGAGGCUCAACCUCGGGCUUGCAGUGGGUACGGGCAGACUAGAGUGCGGUAGGGGUGACUGGAAUUCCUGGUGUAGCGGUGGAAUGCGCAGAUAUCAGGAGGAACACCGAUGGCGAAGGCAGGUCACUGAGCCGCAACUGACGCUGAGGAGCGAAAGCGUGGGGAGCAAACAGG